rnacentral:rRNA from 1 species
AUGAGUCUCUUCGGCCUCGGACGGAAUCAGAAGACGUUCCGUCCCAAGAAAAGUGCUCCAUCAGGCAGCAAGGGGGCACAGCUCCGAAAGCACAUAGAUGCAACGCUCGGCAGUGGAAACCUUAGGGAAGCUGUGAGGCUGCCUCCUGGAGAGGAUAUCAAUGAAUGGCUUGCUGUUAAUACUGUGGAUUUCUUUAAUCAAGUUAACCUGCUGUAUGGCACACUCACAGAGUUCUGCACUUCCGAGAGCUGCCCAACAAUGACUGCAGGCCCAAAGUAUGAGUACCGAUGGGCUGACGGUGUACAGAUAAAGAAGCCUAUAGAAGUGUCAGCACCAAAAUACGUGGAGUACCUAAUGGACUGGAUUGAAGGCCAGCUUGACAAUGAAUCCUUAUUUCCUCAGAAGCUUGGCACACCAUUUCCACCCAACUUCAAGGAUGUUGUAAACACAAUUUUCAAGCGCUUGUUUCGUGUUUAUGCCCACAUAUACCAUUCCCAUUUUCAGAAGAUUGUCAGCCUCAAGGAGGAGGCUCAUCUUAACACCUGCUUCAAGCACUUCAUUCUGUUUACAAACGAAUUUGGGCUGAUUGACAAGAAAGAACUGGCUCCCCUCCAGGAGCUCAUCGAAUCAAUCAUCGUUCCCUACUGA